AUAUAUAUAUAGCAAUAUGGUGAAAUUUAGGAUCCAUAUAGAGAUUAAAGCUUGAAGACAACAACAAAACUUCUCAUAUACCACUGGUGUCUACAUCAAGAAAUUUUGGAUUCUGAAGUAUACAAGAAGCAUAUUUUUGAUGACAUAGAUUGACCAUCACUUUGCUGGGAAUGUCAAGAAAAAUUUAGAGUAUAGUUUAGGCUGAUGACAUGAUUUUUUUGUGAAGAUUUUAUGAACACAAUAUCGUGACUACCAUAUGUCAUUGGUGUACAAUGACAUGACUGAUGCUGACCAUUUUUUGUAAUUAAAUCAACUACUUUAUAUUCAUUACCAUAUCUUCUAGGAGCAAAUUAAUUGUGAUUUAGGGUCUAGAUUGUUACUCUUUAAAAUUCAUUUUAGGAGUACAAAAUAUGGUAUGGUUGUGAUGA